rnacentral:misc_RNA from 1 species
AACCUAGCACACCUGCGGUGUGUACCUGCGGAGGGAUCAUUAGUAAAUGCUGGCGCGAGUCAGCUUUAUUACCCACAUACACCUGUGCACGCCUUCGGGCAUAACAAACUAUUGGUAAUGAAUGUCAUACAUAAAACAAAUACAACUUUCAACAAUGGAUCU